GCCGCAGACGCUUACUAACUGUGUGACCCUGGGCAAGUCUCUGUCUCCUUCAGUGCCUUCAUCCCCAAAUGGGGGUCGUUUGGAAUCACUGGAGCGUGAAGGCGGUCAGAUCUCCCCUUUAGGAAACCUGGAGUGGGGACGCGAGGCAGGCGAUCGCAAUAGUCCAGGAAUUACUCGUCCUUGAAGGAAACCUGUAACGUCGGCCACACAGACUGUCACCUUCAACAGCUCCUGGUCCACUCUAUGCAGGCAGCCACCACCAAAGAGCUUGUUGGCCCGCAUUCCCAACUUCCAGCCAACCCUAUCUCCCAUGCCUCUGACGCCACAGGUUUUGUAACCAAGUCCGGGUCUUCCCAGCUAAGAUGCAGCCUUCUGAUUUUUGGUGGCUCCUCCUUUUAAGGAUGCCUGCCCUCAUUUGGGGUCUUUUAGCUAGCUGAGAUAGACUUCCUUUUGCUCGUAAUUGCUAUUGCCUUCCCAAUAAACUAAACAUG